AAAAGUCCCCGGGACGGCUCUUGUUUCUAGCACGUUGCUGGCUUGUCUGCUGGUGUAUCUUUGGUGCAGGAAGACUGCGCUUGGCCUCUCUGCUCGGCAGCAACCUGCAUGGGGAGAGCAAGAGCACAGGUAGGUGAUGGAAGGGAUGUCAGCCCUUGUAUAUGCCUUUUUGGUUGUACAUGCACACGGAGUGAUCUGGAAGGAGAGGGGAUUAUGGAAUUCGCACGGCAAAAAUAUCAAGCAUGCAAAAGAAAUCCUGAAGUUGUUGGAAGCAGUUCAACUCCCUGAGAAAGUGGCAGUCAUGCACAUUAGAGCACACCAAAAAGCAAACUCAGAAUUGGAAAAAGGAAAUGAGCUGGCGGACAGAGAGGCAAAACAUGCAGCCAAAAGAGAGGUGAAAACAGAAGGGGCCCUGAUCCCUGAUGGGCAAAUCUCCCUAGAAGAAAAAACUCUUGGGAACCCCAAUGGGAAGGACCCUUUCAGGUGCUGCUUACGUCAUACACUGCAGUAAAAAUUAAAGAACAACCUGCUUGGAUUCACCACACGAGAAUCAACAAGUCAACACAAGGUCCAUGGACACUUGAAACGACGGGACCAAUGGGUAGCUGCAACCACUUGGAAGAAAAAGCAGAAGAGGAGAGAGAAAUGCUGCCCAAAUGUUUGCAGUGUGAUCAGUGUUAAUAAAGCUUCUGACUGACCUCUUUUAAAA